rnacentral:rRNA from 1 species
UACGUAGGGGGCGAGCGUUGUCCGGAGUUACUGGGCGUAAAGCGCACGCAGGCGGUCUGUUAAGUUUGGAGUGACAGUUGGUGGCUCAACCACCAAAGUGCUUUGAAAACUGAUAGACUUGAGGGCUCAGAGGGACACGGAAUUCCGGGUGGAGUGGUGAAAUGCGUAGAGAUCCGGAAGAACACCAAAGGCGAAGGCAGCAUCCUGGGAAGUUCCUGACGC